AGUGAACGCUGGCGGUAGGCCUAACACAUGCAAGUCGAACGGCAGCACAGUAAGAGCUUGCUCUUACGGGUGGCGAGUGGCGGACGGGUGAGGAAUACAUCGGAAUCUACUUUUUCGUGGGGGAUAACGUAGGGAAACUUACGCUAAUACCGCAUACGACCUACGGGUGAAAGCAGGGGAUCUUCGGACCUUGCGCGAUUGAAUGAGCCGAUGUCGGAUUUGCUAGUUGGCGGGGUAAAGGCCCACCAAGGCGACGAUCCGUGGCUGGUCUGAGAGGAUGAUCAGCCACACUGGAACUGAGACACGGUCCAGACUCCUACGGGACGCAGCAGUGGGGAAUAUUGGACAAUGGUCGCAAGCCUUAUCCAGCCAUACCGCGUGAGUGAAGAAGGCCUUCGGGUUGUAAAGCCCUUUUGUUGGGAAAGAAAAGCAGCAGGUUAAUACCCCGCUGUUCUGACGGUACCCAAAGAAUAAGCACCGGCUAACUUCGUG
rnacentral:rRNA from 1 species